rnacentral:misc_RNA from 1 species
GAUGAAGAACGCAGCGAAAUGCGAUACGUAAUGUGAAUUGCAGAAUUCAGUGAAUCAUCGAAUCUUUGAACGCAUAUUGCGCUCUCUGGUAUUCCGGAGAGCAUGCUUGUUUGAGUAUCAGUAAACACCUCAACUUCCAUAUCUUUUUUGAAAUGGGAGUUGGACUUGAGUGAUCCCAACGCUUUUCCUCACCGAAAAGUGGCGGGUUACUUGAAAUGCAGGUGCAGCUGGACUUUUCUCUGAGCUAUAAGCAUAUCUAUUUAGUCUGCCUAAAAACAGAUUAUUACCUUUGCUGCAGCUAACAUAAAGGAGAUUAGUUCUUGUGCUGACUGCUGCAGGAUUCACAAAGACAGGCUUCGGCCGACUUUGUAAACUCGAUCUCAAAUCAAGUAAGACUACCCGCUGAACUUAAGCAUAUCAAUAAGCGGAGGA